rnacentral:lncRNA from 1 species
AGUAUCUUCGAGUUUUGUGUUCCUUUUGCAUACAUGUCAUUGUAAGGUAUAAUCACUUUUCAAUCUUAUCUUGGUAUAAUUUUCUUCCAUACAAGGUGAUGAGAUCUAAUAUCUACACCUCUUUUUUGUUGUUGUUAUGUUUCACUGAUAUCUUAGAUAAAUUGGGAUAAAAACAUACGUGUCUAGUUUUAAAAACAAAAAGACCAUGCUGGUCUAAAUUCAAAAAUUGAGAAAUUCGAAACGUAUUUGGAUGUAUAUAGACUGUAUUAUAUUCUGUUUUAAAUAUUUUUAUUUGGUAAUAGUUAUUUAGAAAUUGUAAAUUUUAAUUCAAAUCUAAAUUUUCGUCCAGUGGCCCAUUGACAGGUGUAUACCAACUAAUAUUAUUUUCUUUCUUCUGCAAAGUUGAGCUUCUAAAAUAUUUACUCUUCCCCUUAGUUUUGGCAUCAAUAUAUCUAAAAAUAUUUAUGUCAUUUUAAGUAGAUUUUUUUAAAUAUGGAGUGCAAUUUCUCUAAUCUA